GAUCGCGCUACCAUGCAGUCGGAGGUAGCACAGAGAGCUUGGUCUCUCGUGACAAGUGUGGGACAGGUGAGUAAUGUCUGGGGAUCUGCCCCAUAUAGGGGGAUAUCCCCUGUGAACGGUGGCUAAUACCCCAUAACGUCUCACGACCAAAGAGGGGGACCUCCUGGCCCCUCUCUCUCUGAUGAAACCCCAUGGGGUUUUCUAUUAUGCGGGGUAACGGCCCACCUAUGCGACAAUACCUCUCUGGGCUGAGAGGAUGACCAGCCACACUGUAACUGAGACACGGUCCACACUCCUACAGGAGGGGGCACUGGGGAAUAUUGUGCAAUGGGGGCAAGCCUGAUGCACCCCUGUGCCGUGUGUGAAAAAAGCCUUCUGGUUGUAAAGUACUUUUUCCGGGGAGGAAAGCGCUGAGGUGAAUAACCUUACUGAUUGAGGUUUCCCCCAGAGAAGACACCGGCUAAAUCCCUGCGACCGCCCGCGGUGAUACAGAGGGGGCGCGCGUUAAUCUCAAUUACUGGGCGUAAAGCGCACGCACGCGCGCUGUGAAGUCUCAUAUGAGAUCUCCGGGGUUAUACUGGGGACUGCGUUUGAAACUGUGAGGCGUGAGUCUCUUAGAGAGGGGUAUAGAUCCACGUGUAGCGCUGAGAAGCGUAGAGAUCUGGAGGAAUACAGGUGUCGAAAGCGCCCCCCUGUACAAAGACAGAGACUCUCGUGCGCAAGCGUGUGGAGCACACACGAUAAUAUACACUGGGGUCUACGCGCAUACACUAUCUACUUGUAGGUUGUGCUCUUGAGGAGAGUGUUCCCAGCUCACACGUUAAACGACAGCGUGUGGAGUACAGCGCGCGGUUUAACUCUCAUGUGUUGACAGGGGCGCGCACACGCGCUGUAGCGUGUGUUUUAAAUUAUGUACACGCAGAGACUUACAUACUCUCGACAU
rnacentral:rRNA from 1 species